rnacentral:rRNA from 1 species
AUUGAACGCUGGCGGCAGGCCUAACACAUGCAAGUCGAGCGGAGCGGCGGACGGGUGAGUAAUGCCUAGGACUCUGCCUGGUAGUGGGGGAUAACGUCCGGAAACGGGCGCUAAUACCGCAUACUAUCAGAUGAGCCUAGGUCGGAUUAGCUAUUUGGUGGGGUAGAGGCCUACCAAGGCGACGCUCCGUAUCUGGUCUGAGAGGAUGAUCAGUCAGACGGGAACUGAUACACGGUCCAGAAUACGACGGGAGGCAGCAGUGGGGAAUAGUGGACAAUGGGCGAAAGCCUGAUGCAGCAAGGCCGCGUGUAUGAAGAAGGCCUUAGGGUUGUAAAGUACUUGCAGCGGUGAGGCGUUACCCGAAGAAGAAGCACCGGCUAACUCCGGGCCAGCAGCCGCGGUAAUAC